rnacentral:rRNA from 1 species
CCUACGGGUGGCAGCAGUGAGGAAUAUUGGUCAAUGGCCGGAAGGCUGAACCAGCCAUGCCGCGUGAAGGGCAGGGACCUAGGGGCGUUAAACUUCUUUUGUGCGGGAGCAAGAAUGGUCACGUGGGGCCAGACGAGAGUACCGUACGAAUAAGCAGCGGCUAACUCCGUGCCAGCAGCCGCGGUAAGACGGGGGAGGCAAGCGUUAUCCGGAUUUAUUGGGUUUAAAGGGGGCGUAGGCUGUGAGGUAAGUCAGCGGUGAAAUGCCCCCGCUCAACGGGGUGAAGGGCCAUUGAUACUGCCUUGCUGGACUGCGGCUGCCGUGGGAUGAAUGUUUUGUGUAGCGGUGACAUGCCUCGAUAUCACAC